GAUGAACGCUGGCGGCGUGCCUGAUACAUGCAAGUCGAACGGACCAGCAACCGGCGACUGGCUAAUGGCUUCGGCCUGCAGCCAAGAGCCCUGCUGGUUAGUGGCGGACGGGUGAGUAACACGUAGGUGACCUGCCCCGAAGUGGGGGACAACUACUGGAAACGGUAGCUAAUACCCCAUGUGAUCCGUCAUUCGGUUGGCGGAUUAAAGCUCCGGCGCUUCGGGAUGGGCCUGCGGCCGAUUAGCUAGUUGGUAGGGUAAUGGCCUACCAAGGCGAUGAUCGGUAGCUGGUCUGAGAGGAUGGUCAGCCACACUGGCACUGAGAUACGGGCCAGACUCCUACGGGAGGCAGCAGUAAGGGAUAUUGCGCAAUGGGGGAAACCCUGACGCAGCAACGCCGCGUGGGCGAUGAAGGUCUUCGGAUUGUAAAGCCCUUUUCUGGGGGAUGAGAAAGGACAGUACCUCAGGAAUAAGUCUCGGCUAACUACGUGCCAGCAGCCGCGGUAAAACGUAGGAGGCAAGCGUUAUCCGGAUUUAUUGGGCGUAAAGGGCGUCUAGGCGGUGUCUUAAGUUGGGCGUGAAAUCUCCCGGCUCAACUGGGAGGGGCCGUUCAAUACUGAGACACUUGAGGGCAGGAGAGGAAAGUGGAAUUCCCGGUGUAGUGGUGGAAUACUUAGAUAUCGGGAGGAACACCAGUGGCGAAGGCGGCUUUCUGGCCUGCACCUGACGCUGAAGCGCGAAAGCGUGGGUAGCGAACGGGAUUAGAUACCCCGGUAGUCCACGCCGUAAACGAUGGAUACUAGGUGUUGGUGGUAUUGACCCCAUCAGUGCCGUAGUUAACGCGUUAAGUAUCCCGCCUGGGGACUACGGCCGCAAGGCUA
rnacentral:rRNA from 1 species